rnacentral:rRNA from 1 species
ACGGAAGGCAGCAGUGGGGAAUAUUGCACAAUGGGGGAAACCCUGAUGUAGCGGCGCCGCGUGAGUGAAGAAGUUAUUCGUAAUGUAAAGCUCUAUCAGCAGGGAAGAAAAUGACGGUACCUGACUAAGAAGCCCCGGCUAACUACGUGCCAGCAGCCGCGGUAAUACGUAGGGGGGCAAGCGUUAUCCGGAUUUACUGGGUGUAAAGGGAGCGUAGACGGCUUUGUAAGUCUGAUGUGAAAGGCAGGGGCUCAACUCCUGGACUGCAUUGGAAACUACAGAGCUUGAGUGCCGGAGAGGUAAGCGGAAUUCCUAGUGUAGCGGUGAAAUGCGUAGAUAUUAGGAGGAACACCAGUGGCGAAGGCGGCUUACUGGACGGUAACUGACGUUGAGGCUCGAAAGCGUGGGGAGCAAACAGGAUUAGAUACCCUGGUA